AGCUUACAUCCCUACCCCUCCUGCCCUCACCUGCUGUCCUUUUCUUUUUGUUUUUUUUGCUGCACAUUGAGAGACCACAUCUAUUCUGCAUUUCACCAGGAGUCAGCUGAUGGAUUGUGGGUUCAAGGUGUUAUGAUAAAAUGCAGCAUUCCAGUGCAUCCCAACCAUGCCUUUACAGUCAAGGUUUCUGACGGAGCUGAGUUUCUCUCUGACAGUCUGCUGAAAGUGUUUGCAAAGUGAUCGGGGGAACAGUGCACAAAGCUAAAGGAUGUAGCUGCCAUGAUGACAGAUGACAUUAAUGCUCAAAGGGAGUCUCAUCAAAGUGCUCCGCAUCUGUGUGAAAGACAAUUGCAACAUCUUGGUGCAGGAGUUCAUGGUGAGUGUUUUAUGAGUAGAUUGUGGCUUUGCAACAUUUAAAAAUGCAUUUAGUUAUCCACUUGAUCCUCAUUGGACUGGUUAGGACCAGUAGUCCUCUUUAAUAAUUUGAAGUUCACAUGAGGCCUAGUAGUGAACUCGGCCGCCGGCCCUUGAGGCCCCACCCCUACCCCUGUAUUAGGGGUCACAUCAGUGUGAAAAAACUUUAAAUUUGUCAUUCUAGUGAACAAAGAAAAAUCCCCCCAAUAUUUACAUUAGCUUUUGUUUGAAAAAAAAAAAAAAAAAGACCAACUGACCAACAGCUAACCAAAUUGUGGGGCUGAAAGUCUAAAUUCUAACAUCUUCUGAGUGACAUAACCUGGAUUUCUGAUGGGCCGGUGUCUUUCUAACAAAAACUAAUGUAAAGCAUUUGAAAUUAUUAUGUUUUUCACUCUCUCUUAGAAACUCUGUUAGACCAUGAAUGGCAGCAUGGCAGGCCACUCUUUGGCUAUAGCUAUUUACUAUGGUUUAAAUUACUCUAACAUUAGAACUGGUAGAUUCAAAAGAGAUGAGUUUAAAAGGGAAUCUUAAAAAAAUGUUUUGUGUUUAACCAGGACUUGACUGAGGCCACUGCACAGAUUGAGAAAACCACAAUGAACAUCUGUCUCCAGAGAUGCGCCAGGCAAUGACUUUUCUGAUGUUGGCAUCAUCAUCGAGGGUAUAGUAGUUCUUCAAGAUCUGGAUAACGUGACCUUUGCAGUAGCCAUGCUGUUUGGACCUUUUUUAUUCCUUCAAUAUGAGUUACCCAUCACAGCUCUGCUACACUUUUGAGGUGAUUCAAUGGGUGGUAAUGGAGUUGGAAGCAACUCAGCUCUCAAGAAAAGCUCACAACUGAGACAAAACUGCUCCUGCAAGGAAAGCUCACUGUUAUGCAUGCAAGGUGAUCAGCUCUAGGUGAGAGGACAUUUAAAUCUCACACUUGUUCUGCUGCAUUUUUGAAGCUCAAUUCCAGGAGCAGAUCGCAGGGUUCAUUUUUAUAUACUCUGCAACUGCCAUGAGGACAAGCCGUUUUUGUUGUUGUUGUUUGUUUUUCCUUUUGCUCUGUACAAGUUCUCUGUUUGUCUGUUUGGCAGCAUUUUUAAAUUUCUGUUUGUAUUUUUUCUUUCUUUUACUAGUGAAGAGAUGUAGCGUGAACAGUUAUACAGUCUAAAUAUCCCAUAUGGGUCGUGUGAAAUGGUAUUUUCAGUUUCAUUCAGUUGAAGUAAAGAACGUUGAAUAUUUCUAAGUAUGCUGUUUUGAACCAAGAUGUCACAGUAUGAUCAGUGCUGUAAUUUUUGACAGUCACUGUAUCAAUGUUAUUUUUGCGUCUCUUGAAUAAAGUUUUUGACCUGCAAGUGCUAAUUUCUUUAGUUAUUGGGGUAAAAUGGGUAAUGUUAAUAGGAAGGUGUUUGCCAAUUCAGUAACCUAAUUUAAUGUUAAUGGAAACUAACAUUUCCUCAAAUUGUUUAGUUAUAAUUGUUGUUUAACUGAAUCUUGACGUCAGAGGCCUUAAAUAGAAUGUUUUGUAUUGUCCUGUAACAUUUUUCAAAAGAAACAGUCCAAUUUCUUUGCUGUGAUUGAUUCCAGAGAACACGGAAGAACUGACAUUAUUUAACUGUUGAUUUAUAUAGAUUCAGUGGAGGAGUAAUGUCAGUUUAA
ensembl:lncRNA